GCAUUAUAUUUAACCCUAUAACUUUCCAAGACACCAUAAAACCAGUACAUGUGGGGUACUGUUCUACUCAGGGGACUUCGCUGAACACAAAUAUUAAUGUUUCAAAACAGUAAAAUGUAUUACGAUGAUGAGAUCGCCAGUAAAAGUGAAGUUUUUUUCAUUUUUCAUGCACAAACAGCACUUACACGGACAUUAUUAUUGCUGCGAUACUUUUACUGUUUUGAAACUCAAAUAUUUGAGUUCAGCGAAGUCUCCCGAGUACAACAGUACCCCUCAUGUACAGGUUUUAUGGUGUUUUCAAAAGUUACAGCAUCAAAUAUAAGGCUUGCGUUUCAUUUUAUUCACGUUAAAAUUCGCCAGAUUGGUUACGGUGCCUUUGAGACACUAUGGUAGCCCAAUAAUGAAAAUUACCCCUAUGAUGGCAUACCAUUUGCAAUAGUAGACAACCCAAGGUAUUGCAAACGGUGUAUGGUCCAGUCUUUUUUAGUAGCCACUUAGUCACAAACACUGGCCAAAAUUGGCGUUUUUUGCAUUUUUCACAC